rnacentral:rRNA from 1 species
CCUACGGGUGGCAGCAGUGAGGAAUAUUGGUCAAUGGGCGGAAGCCUGAACCAGCCAAGCAGCGUGAAGGAGGAAGGCCCAACGGGUUGUAAACUGCUUUUAUAGGGGAAGAACGCGCCGUACGUGUAGGGCCUUGCAUGUACCGUAUGAAUAAGGACCGGCUAAUGCCGUGCCAGCAGCCGCGGUAAUACGGAAGGUACGGGCGUGAUCCGGAUUUCUUGGGUGUAAAGGGAGCGUAGGCGGCAUGUCAAGCGGGCGGUGAAAUGUCCGGGCUCAACCCGGGCCGUGCAGCGCGAACUGGCGUGCUUGCGUCCGCCGCAGGCAGGCGGCAUUCGUCGUGUAGCGGU